AGCUCUAGCAACAAAACCACCCAUGGAAUGACCAACCAAUAUCACACUUCUCGGAGGACUCCUAGACACAGCAGCACCUUCCUUAACUCGUGCAUCGUGGGACUCUUUAUAAUGAUCCAAUAUCCUGUGAAUGGCAUAUACAACAUAAUCUGUGUGUUCUUCAAGAAUUCGACCAUCCAUUGCAGAAUGUUCACCUUCAAGAUCCACAGCAAACCAGUCAAGCAUGGAUGUGUA
rnacentral:misc_RNA from 1 species